rnacentral:lncRNA from 13 species
GUGGAGAAAUCUAUAUGCUAUUCAUGCUCCUGCUAUGUCUUCUAAAAAAUUAAAAAAUCCAUGUUUCUUUUAGGUAAAUAUUUAUAGCUCAUGUCAAGAGGAGUGAACAAGGCAGCUUGAAAGAUCCCUUGUACUGCUUUCAGAACUCAAGGCAGUUUUAAAAGAGAGACAAUGUCCCACUAUGUUUCCCAGGCUGGUCUCAAACUUCUGGGCUCAAGUGAUCCAUCUGGGCCUCCCAAAGUGCUGGAAUUACAGAUGCCAGGAACAAGGCUGGCCCUCUAGUGGACAAUGCAGUGGCCUGAGCCUAAAGUCUAUACCCAAAAUAGCAAGAAUGUGCCCAUAUGAUGGUGUCUCCAGGACUAGGAGGCCAAUAAAACAGAAAGGACCUCAAGAUUUGCUAUUUAAGACAAACAAGAUGAAGCUGAAGCGCUUUAGUCUGGCAUUCAAAGCCCUUCACAUCCUGGCCCCAGAGUAUGCAGACACCACCAUUUCCUACCACUUACCAGCAUUGAUACUUUGCCAAGUCAAACUAAUCUAUCCACAGCAAUGGCACGCUGCCAUGUUCCUAAAUCUGAACUCCUGGAAGGCAAGGCCUGGAUCCUAUUUAAAUUGA